rnacentral:lncRNA from 1 species
UCGUAAGUAAAGACGGGUGGAUGGCCUUAGUGCCGGAUAUCCUUUUCAAGUAUGAAAACGAGAAUGGUAUGUUCAAGGUCUAUUGACCGGUUCAUUAUUCCUAAGUUAUUAUAUAUACUUUGGAAUUAUUAUUAUGACAUGAGAAGUACUAGUCAAAUGUUUCAUAGUGCUUCGUAGAUAAUUGUUCAGAUACGGAAAUAAAGCAUGUAAUUGUUAAGGUGAUAUUCUUAUGCUUCUUUGUUAAGACUUGUUGAGCUAGUUAUGCUCAUUCUUGCUUGAACCAUAUGUUUGCAGCUAAAGCCAAACGAACUGAGAGUUCUAAG